rnacentral:tRNA from 1 species
GCCGACUUAGCUCAGUGGUAGAGCGCGUGACUUUUAAUCCCGUGGUCGAGGGUUCGAUCCCCUCAGUCGGCG